AUGUCCCCGGCGAGUCCUGGCCCAAGCCCCCACCUUCCGGUCGAGCAGAGCACAAAAUCCUCACCCCCAUCCAUCUUCCCCCUGGUUCCCUGCUGCCCCAAGACUGGCAAUGCUCCCCGGACACAAGCUUGGCCUGCCUCGUAACUGGAUAUUUCCCAGCACCAGUGGCCAUCAAGUGGAAUUCGGGAAAAGUGACCCAGGGGGUCACAACUUUCCCAGAGGUGACGAUGAGCGACAGGCUCCUCACCCGGAGCAGCCUCCUGAUCAACCCUGCCAGGUCCCGGCAGGGCGACACCUACCAGUGCGAUGUGACAAAUCAAGGGACAGCAACGACCCUGUCGAAGAAGUUCCCUCAGGAGUGGUGUGAUUCGACAACGCCACCCCAGGUUCACCUCCUGGUCCCCACCUGUGAGGAGAGCUCCACAGAGAGCCAGCUGGAGCUGGUUUGCCUCCUCCUGAGCUUCAAACCCGGCAAAGCUGACGUGAAAUGGCUGGUGAAUGGAAAGGAGAGCAGCCCCCCCAGCCCGGCCUUUUCCUCUGCCAUAGGCACAGACGGCUUCUACAUGGGGCAGAGCCGCAUGAACAUCACCAAGCAGAGCUGGGAGCAGGGGGACGUCUACACCUGUCAAGUGACCCACCCAGCAGUGGGAGCAGAGCUCUCCAUGCACAACACCAGCAAGUGCUUGGCCUGCCUCAGAAGCUCACUUGACCCAACCAUCUACUUAACCAAACCCUCCUAUGAAGACGUCAUCAAAAAUUCUGGUCACGUUACCUGUCUAGUUCUGGGCUAUGACUUAGCAGCCAGCAGAAUGGCGUGGAAAGUGGAUGGGCAGGUCAGCUCUGCGGCGAAGACAGAACCCCCCAAGAAGAACAGCAACGGGACCACCAGCCUGGUCAGUUCUCACCCUGUGUCGCUGGCACAAUGGGGACAAGGCACCAAAUUUACCUGCAAAGUGACCACACCCUGUUCUGGAGAACUAACCCAGGACAUAACCAUGAGCAAUACAGCUGAGGUGCCCUGGCAUCUCCAAGGGAAAGCUGAGGAUAACGAUCGUGAUGAUGAUCUCGAAGGAGAUGACAAUGAUGUCGAUGACAAUGAAGAAGGAAAUGAAGAUGCUGAAGGAGAAAAGGAGAAAGAAUGUCAGAAUGCUGAAGGAGAUGAUGAAGAGGAUGGUGUCAGCAACUGUAAUCGACACCCUCUGGAGGUGUCUCUCCUUCCUCCUUCCCUGGAGGACCUCUACAUAGCGCAGAACGCCACCAUCAGUUGUUUGGUGAGCGGCCUGGAGACCCCUGGCAGCCUGGAGGUCUUCUGGAACCGGGAUAGCGGGGGCCCGUUGGCCGUGGUCUCCAGGGAUCCGGUGCUGCAGGAAGAUGGCACCUACAGUGCAACCAGCAUCCUGCGGGUGUGCGUGGAGGAGUGGCAGGUGGGGGAGGAGUUCAUCUGCACCAUGAAGCACCAAGACUUCCCGUCGGCCAUUGUCAAGACCAUCCGCAAGAGUCACAUGGUCUCCCUCCGCGCCCCUUCUGUCUACAUUUCCCCUCCUCACGCUGAGGAACUGGCUCUCCGGGAAUCAGCCUCCAUCACCUGCCUGGCCUCUGGCUUCUGGCCCAGAGACAUCUUGGUGACAUGGACUCAGCAGGACCGGCCCAUGCCCCAGGAAGCCUACACCAACAUCGGCCCCGUGCGGGAGGCUGGGAAGGAGGAGCGCUACUUCAUCUACAGCAAGCUAAAAAAGCUCAAUGUCCUGGUGUCCGAAUGGGAGCCGGGGGACACCUACGCCUGCGUGGUGGGGCACGAGGGUCUGCCCAUGACCUUCAUCCACCGGAGCGUGGACAAAGCCUCCGGUAAACCCACCGCCGUCAAUGUCUCUGUGAUCUUGUCCGACACCGACGUCACUUGCUACUGAGGAGCAGAGCCCGGCAGGCUCCUCACGGCGUAUCUGAGAUGGCCUCCGAACUUCG